ACCCCAAUUCAAUUUUCUUUGUUUGAUUUGCUUUACAAACUUUAUUUAAAUUAUCUUUUAAAUCGAAACGCCAUAAAAAUACAAGUUUCUGGCAAGCGUUUAUCUUAGCAGUUAGCCAAGUGAUGAGCAUUUGAUUACCUGCAAAUGUUUAAUCAACUGCUCAUUUUUCUCCCAUUUAAACCCUAACCUUUGCUUCUAUCAUCUAUCCAUGGAUACUCGUCGACCUUCUCGCCUUAUCGAUCCAAAGGUUCGUCGGGUGGGAUUCUUCGCACCCGACCCGGAUAACCAUCCCAGACUUGCCUCAUCUCCCUCCGGGUACUCUUCAUCUCCGGCGAUGAUCUCUCAUGCCUUCGACAGCGUCUCACAAGCUGUGCCUGUUCCCAAUUCUACCUUGUCGCGGCCUCGACGAACUUCUUUUGACGAAAGUGAGCAAUUUGUGGUUGGAAGUUACAAUCCUAUGCAGUCCGUGCUGGGAACUUCACCGGCAUCCAGCGGAAUUGGUGUAGAUGGCGAAUUUUCCGAGGACUCCUCUCAGUGGGUUCGUUUAACCGAUGGUUUCGGUUUGACUUCACCUGCGAAAUCAAUGACUGAGUUGAAAGACGAUCAGGAUACCUCUAGCAUGGAACGGGUCAGUGCACUAGUGGCUGAAACACCAACUGAAGUAGAAAGAAAUGAUAAGUCACUGAAAGAAAAGACCACGAAAGCUGAAAGGCGUGCGCUGCAGGAGACUCAACGAGCUGCAAAAGCUUCGGGAAAAGCUGGGGGAAAAUCUGUGGUAAAGUUACAUGGACAGUCUGGUAAACCUGCUAAGCAGCCUCCACAAAAGAAAGAUGGUGGACCAAUGAUGUCAUCUGCAGCUCUUUCUGAGACAAAAGGAGGUGACGGACCACCAGAAAAGGAUCGCAAGAAAGAUGUACCAGCUCCUAGGAUGCAAUUUGAUGAUAAGAAUCGUGUUGAAAAAGCUAAGAAGCGUGCACUAGUUAAAAAGAUUGAAGCUAGAAAUAGAGUAGAAUUGUUUCGGCAUUUACCGCAGUAUGAACAAGGAACUCAGCUACCUGAUCUUGAAUCGAGGUUUUUCCACCUUGAUACCAUGCAUCCUGCAGUAUACAAGGUCGGAUUGCAGUAUUUGGCUGGAGAUGUAGUUGGGGCCAAUGCUCGCUGUGUUGCAAUGCUACAAGCAUUUCAACAAGCCAUCAAAGAUUACUCUACACCUCGGGAAAAAGCUCUAGGUAGAGAUUUAACAGCAAGAAUCAGUGGCUACGUAUCAUUUCUUAAUGAGUGUAGGCCUCUUUCUAUUAGCAUGGGGAAUGCAAUUCGCUUUCUUAAAGCUCGUAUAGCCAAGUUAUCUUUAACUCUUUCUGAGUCAGAAGCAAAAGCUGCUCUGUAUUCAGAUAUUGAGCGCUUCAUGAAUGAGAAGAUAGCAUUAGCUGGCAGAGUAAUAACAAGACAGGCAGUUAUGAAGAUCAGAGAUGGUGACGUUCUUCUCACGUAUGGCUCUUCCUCUGUUGUUGAGAUGAUUCUGCUACAUGCUUAUGAGCUCGGGAAACAAUUCCGUGUAAUAGUGGUUGAUUCUCGCCCUAAAUUUGAAGGCCGGGCACUACUUCGGAGGUUGGUAAGGAAGGGCCUAAGUUGUACAUAUACUCAUCUAAAUGCUGUUUCGUACAUUAUGCAUGAAGUCUCUAGAGUGUUAAUGGGUGCUGAAUCUGUAUUAUCUAAUGGGACUGUGUACUCUAUAAUUGGGACUGCAUGUGUUGCUAUGGUUGCUCAUGCAUUCCGUGUUCCUCUGCUGAUUUGUUGUGAAGCUUAUAAGUUUCAUGAGAGAGUACAACUUGAUUCUGUUUCUUCCAAUGAGCUGGGUAACCCAGAUGUCAUUUCCAAGAUUCCUGGUAGACUGGAUGUCAAUUACUUGGAUAACUGGAGAAGUAAUGAUAAUAUUCAGCUUCUGAAUUUGAUCUUCUUUCUGCACCAUGUGCAUUGAUACAUUACAAGGCAUCGGGGUGGGAAGAAGAAACGUAACUGAUGUCUGGGAAAACUUUCUUGACGUCAAGAAAGAAAAAGCUCACUUUAAUCUUAUGAAGUAUUAUGGAGUAGGAGUUCAGAAGAACAAAAAAUAUCUGCUAGAGCUACCAAACAUUUGGAAGAACAAAGAAAGUUGUCCUUGAGCUACGAGGAGAAGUCAUUCCUCACUGAUAUGGUCCUCCUAAAAUCACUGCCUUGACACCUUUGUAUGACGCUACUCCGUCAGACUAUAUCUCAAUGAUCAUUACAGAUUAUGGCAUGAUACCAACCACAAGUGUGCCUGUGAUUGUGCACGAGUAUGGGAGCGAACACCUCCUGAUAUAAAUUGUCCUGUUUGGAUGUGACAAAGAAGGAACAAUUACCAACUUACUGGCAAUUUUUGCUGUCAGAUAACAACACCUUAUAGGAAAUGAAUGCUUGCAUUUAAAUUAUUUACCAUAUUAAAGAAAAGAAUGCAUGCAUUAAAAUUGUCUUGGAGAUCAUAGAAAUUUGCAUAGUUUUCAAUAAGGUCUUUCUCUUUUUACUCUGUGUCUAACGACAGUUGUUCACUAUACUAAUUUAGAAUGUCCAACAAUAUUUGUCCACUUUAUUAGAUUAUUUACAUAGUUCUCUGAUGAAAAUAACUAGGUCAUAGUUGUCAGGUGAGUUGGACGGAUUCCUUGUAUAUUUCAAUGCAAAAUGUCUCAUGGAAAAUUCUGCAA